rnacentral:rRNA from 1 species
AUUGAACGCUGGCGGCAGGCUUAACACAUGCAAGUCGAGCGGAGUGAUGGUGCUUGCACUAUCACUUAGCGGCGGAUGGGUGAGUAAUGCUUAGGAAUCUGCCAUUUAGUGGGGGACAACAUUCCGAAAGGAAUGCUAAUACCGCAUACGUCCUACGGGAGAAAGCAGGGGAUCUUCGGACCUUGCGCUAAAUGAUGAGCCUAGGUCGGAUUAGCUAGUUGGUGGGGUAAAGGCCUACCAAGGCGACGAUCUGUAGCGGGUCUGAGAGGAUGAUCCGCCACACUGGGACUGAGACACGGCCCAGACUCCUACGGGAGGCAGCAGUGGGGAAUAUUGGACAAUGGGCGGAAGCCUGAUCCAGCCAUGCCGCGUGUGUGAAGAAGGCCUUUUGGUUGUAAAGCACUUUAAGCGAGGAGGAGGCUACUAGUACUAAUACUACUGGAUAGUGGACGUUACUCGCAGAAUAAGCACCGGCUAACUCUGUGCCAGCAGCCGCCGCGGUAA